rnacentral:lncRNA from 1 species
UGCAUUGCACGAAUGGCUUUAUUUUUCUCACUUUUAGCCUAGAAAUAUUGAUAUAAAGUGACAGAAAAGUAAGUAUUAAUCAUGGUACAUUGCCCUAGCAACUAGAGGAAAACCAAACUCCUAAUACUAAUACAUGUGCUGCACUUGUCUUCCAAUACCUUACCAGCCACUCCCAUUGUUGAUCUGGUAUCCUUUGGCCACAACUAUUACGGAUAUUUUGUCUUCGUGUUAUAUUGGGAUUGAAAUAUGUCCUCUUCAAAAAAACCUUGAAAUCUUUCCAUUUUUUGCUAGCAGAUCUCAACACCCAAGGCUUGAAAGAUUUAUCAACAUUGACAAAAGCCUUUGACCAGUCUAAAUUAGCAUAAAAUCCACUCAUAAGGAUAAAAUAAAAGCAAGAUAGACUCUAUUGAUGUCCACUCAUAAAGAUAAUAAGUUUCAGCAUCAAUAUCUAACUCAUCCUUCAAUCCAUCAUCCCCUCCUAGAGUACGAGUGUCAUACAUCCCAAACCCCUCCA